CUCCCUCUAGAGAUCAGAGUUUUCCCCUUCGGGGGACAGAGUUGACAGGUGGUGCAUGGUUGUCGUCAGCUCGUGUCGUGAGAUGUUGGGUUAAGUCCCGCAACGAGCGCAACCCUUAAGCUUAGUUGCCAUCAUUAAGUUGGGCACUCUAAGUUGACUGCCGGUGACAAACCGGAGGAAGGUGGGGAUGACGUCAAAUCAUCAUGCCCCUUAUGAUUUGGGCUACACACGUGCUACAAUGGACAAUACAAAGGGUAGCGAAACCGCGAGGUCAAGCAAAUCCCAUAAAGUUGUUCUCAGUUCGGAUUGUAGUCUGCAACUCGACUAUAUGAAGCUGGAAUCGCUAGUAAUCGUAGAUCAGCAUGCUACGGUGAAUACGUUCCCGGGUCUUGUACACACCGCCCGUCACACCACGAGAGUUUGUAAC
rnacentral:rRNA from 1 species